UGCAGAACAGGCAGAUGCAGCAAUUGCAGUAGCUACCGGCAGCACUUCGACGGGCAGGAGCACGUCAGCGAGCGGCCGGGCCCCGGGGCCACCGGCAUCGAGCGGGAGCCGCCGCAGCCACUGC